rnacentral:lncRNA from 1 species
AAAUGGCAGCUUCCUUUUCUAAUGAUAUAAUUUCCGUGCUAUAUUUUUUUUCAUUUAUCACGAAUUAAUUUGAUAAAUUAAUAACCAAUUCAAAUUGAUUAAUUUUCAUGAUAUAUAAAUAUAGGUUAAAACGCCAAUUCCAUGUACUCACUUGCCAAACGCAAAACCCAUCAAUAUACCUACAAAAUUCACAUUUCAAUUUCACAGCACUUCAAUAUUAUAUUGCAAGAAUAAGAACUCCGCUUAAGAAAGCUAAAACAUGGCUCUGUUGUCUGGUUUACUUUCAUGCUGUGCUGCCUCAUCAGUUCAAGUCUCUGACCAACUUGAAGCUUCUAAAGUGAUCAAAUCACCACCAAAAGAGGAAAAAUCAAAGAGCAUAUCAUCAUCAAAAGUUCCAAAGGGAGCACCAAUUAUGGUUUCUUACUUCCCAGUCAACUCUUAUCCCUCGCGCUUGUAAGUAUUCAACAGCAAAUACAAAGCGAUGUUGAUGACAGCUUCUUAUCUUGCUCGGUUUUGGUGAAGUUGUGAGACCAUAGUUAUUUUUUUUAUUGACGACAAUAUACUAGCUAUUAACAUUUGAGAUCCCUUACUGAAUAUGGUUCUUCCAACAGUUAUAUUUUCGUACCCAUAAUGUAAUUGAAAUACACAAAUGUAAUAAAGAAUUUGUUCAAUUCUUUUAUUGAAUUAAGUCCCAAAAUAUCUCUUAAUUUUUCACUCGAAUAAUAAAUUGGUCCCU